AUUGAACGCUGGCGGAAUGCUUUACACAUGCAAGUCGAGCGGCAGCACGGGGGCAACCCUGGUGGCGAGCGGCGAACGGGUGAGUAAUACAUCGGAACAUGCCCAGUCGUGGGGGAUAACACUUCGAAAGAAGUGCUAAUACCGCAUACGUCCUGAGGGAGAAAGCGGGGGAUCGCAAGACCUCGCGCGAUUGGAGUGGCCGAUGUCAGAUUAGCUAGUUGGUGGGGUAAAGGCCUACCAAGGCAACGAUCUGUAGCUGGUCUGAGAGGAUGAUCAGCCACACUGGGACUGAGACACGGCCCAGACUCCUACGGGAGGCAGCAGUGGGGAAUUUUGGACAAUGGGGGCAACCCUGGUCCAGCCAUUCCGCGUGAGUGAAGAAGGCCUUCGGGUUGUAAAGCUCUUUCGGCAGGAACGAAACGGCGAGCUCUAACAUAGCUUGCUAAUGACGGUACCUGAAGAAGAAGCACCGGCUAACUACGUG
rnacentral:rRNA from 1 species